rnacentral:rRNA from 1 species
AUUGAACGCUGGCGGCAGGCCUAACACAUGCAAGUCGAACGGCAGCACAGAAGAGCUUGCUCUUUGGGUGGCGAGUGGCGGACGGGUGAGUAAUGUCUGGGAAACUGCCCGAUGGAGGGGGAUAACUACUGGAAACGGUAGCUAAUACCGCAUAACGUCGCGAGACCAAAGUGGGGGACCUUCGGGCCUCACACCAUCGGAUGUGCCCAGAUGGGAUUAGCUAGUAGGUGGGGUAAUGGCUCACCUAGGCGACGAUCCCUAGCUGGUCUGAGAGGAUGACCAGCCACACUGGAACUGAGACACGGUCCAGACUCCUACGGGAGGCAGCAGUGGGGAAUAUUGCACAAUGGGCGCAAGCCUGAUGCAGCCAUGCCGCGUGUAUGAAGAAGGCCUUCGGGUUGUAAAGUACUUUCAGCAGGGAGGAAGGCGGUGAGGUUAAUAACCUCGCCGAUUGACGUUACCCGCAGAAGAAGCACCGGCUAACUCCGUGCCAGCAGCCGCAGUAA